AGAGACGGACAGCAUAGCUCUGUGUGUAUAGAGACGGACAGCAUAGCUCUGUGUGUAUAGAGACGGACAGCAUAGCUCUGUGUGUAUAGAGACGGACAGCAUAGCUCUGUGUAAAGAGACGGAAAGCGCAGCUCUGUGUGUAGAGAGACGGACGGCGCAGCUCUGUGUGUAGAGAGACGGACGGCGCAGCUCUGUGUGUAGAGAGACGGACGGCGCAGCUCUGUGUGUAGAGAGACGGACGGCGCAGCUCUGUGUGUAGAGAGACGGACGGCGCAGCUCUGUGUGUAGAGAGACGGACGGCGCAGCUCUGUGUGUAGAGAGACGGACGGCGCAGCUCUGUGUGUAGAGAGACGGACGGCGCAGCUCUGUGUGU